rnacentral:rRNA from 1 species
GAUGAACGCUGGCGGCGUGCUUAACACAUGCAAGUCGAACGAGAACGGGCUAUAGCUUGCUAUAGUUGUCAGCUAAGUGGCGCACGGGUGAGUAAUGUAUAGGUAAUAUGCCUCUUACUAAGGGAUAACAAAUGGAAACGUUUGCUAAUACCUUAUACUCCUUAUUAACAGAAGUUAAUAAGGGAAAGAUUUAUUGGUAAGAGAUUAGCCUGUAUUGUAUCAGUUAGUUGGUGGGGUAAUGGCUUACCAAGACUAUGACACAUAACUGGUUUGAGAGGAUGAUCAGUCACACUGGAACUGAGACACGGUCCAGACUCCUACGGGAGGCAGCAGUGGGGAAUAUUGCACAAUGGACGAAAGUCUGAUGCAGCAACGCCGCGUGGAGGAUGACACAUUUCGGUGCGUAAACUCCUUUUAUAUGAGAAGAUAAUGACGGUAUUAUAUGAAUAAGCACCGGCUAACUCCGUGCCAGCCGCCGCGGUAA